GAAAGCGCGGGACUGGAAGCGGAGGGCGGGGGGUCUGGACCCGCAUGCGUAGGGAGGACGCGGGGCUGACGGAGGGCGGGAGGCAGCCCGCUGGCUGGACCCGGAUGCGCGGCUGGAGGAGGGCUGGGCGCCUGGACGGGGGCGUGUCGCUGAGACCGCACAACGCUCCAUGGAACUCCUGGCACCUUGAGUUGCACAAUGAAGUGUACAUGGCAAUGCACUGACCAGAAAACGCGAUUUACUUCUCUACAACCUCUGAACAGAGAAAACCCAAGUAAACAAUGAUGAUGCUGGGGUGCUACGAAAUCUUCUGGUGAUAAUACCUGCACCUCAGAAUCACCUGGGAAGCCAGUAUUGUAAAUCUACAAAGGAGAACGUGACCUUGUCUGGGGCUCAAGGGAGACUGAAGACGUGGAACAGAGCUCUGAGGGAUUAAGUGACUUUACCAAGGCAAAGAGAGAGUAGAACACAGAGGGAACAGCAUGGGUAAAAGCCCCUGUUGGGGAAAGACCAGUUUGAGAUGAAUAUCGUGUGCCCUGAACACAAACAACAAAGCAGGAACAGGGAGAAGAGGGGCUGGAGAGCGGCCUGGGCCAGAUUACAGAGCCACAGGGGCCUUGGUAAGAAAAGUGGGUCUUUAUCUAAAAAGCAGUUAAAAGUCACAAAAGAGGACUGACGUGAUCACUUCUCCGAUGCUCAAUAUACUCAGUGAAUGAACAAAAAUCAAUGUCAAUAAACACGGAAACAGCCACAAUUUGAUCUUGAAGGACUUUAGAAAAAUAACAAAGAAGGUACUCCUGAAUUUGUUCUUCCACAACGAGAGAAGAGAUAAUGGUCAUAAU